GACGAACGCUGGCGGCGUGCUUAACACAUGCAAGUCGAGCGGUAAGGCCCUUUCGGGGGUACACGAGCGGCGAACGGUGAGUAACACGUGGGUGACCUGCCCUUAGCUCUGGGAUAAGCCUGGGAAACUGGGUCGUAAUACCGGAUAUGACCUCAUGACUCAUGUUGUGGGGUGGAAAGCCUUGUGCGGCUAGGGAUGGGCCCGCGGCCUAUCAGCUUGUUGGUGGGGUAAUUGCCACCAAGGCGACGACGGGUAGCCGGCCUGAGAGGGCGACCGGCCACACUGGGACUGAGACACGGCCCAGACUCCUACGGGAGGCAGCAGUGGGGAAUCUUGCGCAAUGGGCGAAAGCCUGACGCAGCGACGCCGCGUGAGGGAUGACGGCCU
rnacentral:rRNA from 1 species